rnacentral:rRNA from 1 species
UACGGGGGGGAGCAAGCGUUGUUCGGAUUUACUGGGCGUAAAGGGCGCGUAGGCGGUCGUGACAAGUCACUUGUGAAAUCUCCGGGCUUAACUCGGAACGGUCAAGUGAUACUGUCGGACUAGAGUACAGAAGGGGCAACUGGAAUUCUCGGUGUAGCGGUGAAAUGCGCAGAUAUCAGGAGGAACACCGGUGGCGAAGGCGGGUCUCUGGGCCGAUACUGACGCUGAGGAGCGAAAGCGUGGGGAGCGAACAGG